UUGUCGAGCAGAAUCUGAGGUGUUGAUCUGCAGAUCCCAGCGUCGGCCUUCGGUACUUCGGCUCGUGCGCGACGUAGGAGCGACGGAUCGCGACGAAAUCGGGUUUGCUGGAUUCUAGACUGCGAGAAGAAUCCACAGAGUCCAAGUUUGCUGGAUUUGGAAAGCAGGUGGAUUCGGUUUUGAGCGGGACGCGUUGGGUUUUCGCGGACUCGGCCACUCCCUUCGUUGCCAGGAGAUUAGCGAUCGAGGACCUUCGGUCUCGGCUGCUGCUCCUUCUGAGGCGGAUCGCGGCAAGGGCGUCGCGAGCUAGAGCCCUUCCCGACUGGUGCUGAGUUAGCAGUUUUCCCCUACUGCAGGUAGUGUGCUCGUGUUUUGGGAGCUAUGUACAUAUUUGUGAACUCGUUGGAGCGAGUGCUUUUGUAUAGAGAUUUUUGUAUGUAUAUAGACUCGUUCUUUCUCUACC